AAAAGAAGCACUUGGCUGCUCUUAGAUCUGUCAUCAAAUGCUCAAGACGCCAUAACAUUGAUCUUUCAAAACUUCUUCCCGGGUGGAAAAUCAAUGAGCAAAUAAUGUGCUUGGAGAAAGAAAUUGAAGUAGGUGAGAAGAAGAUGGCACAAAAGAGAAAAAAUGAUGAAACUGAGUCAUCUGGAAUGAUCAGCAACAAAGAGGCGAAACAGUCGCAUUUUCCAAAUCCACGGCUACAACAGGAAAGAGUUGUUAAUCAUAUUGAUAGCAACACAACCUUGUUAGAAAGUGGAACUGCUGGCCACAUGUUUGGUUUGUCCCCAUUAGUAUUGCAUGGACCUGGAGGUCAUGGAAGGACUUUAGUAGAUAAUACACCCAUGCAAAUAGGAAGUCAUCACACUGGUCAGUUAUAUGGACUGCAUGGUGAUGGAGCUGUGUGCGACAGACUGCCCUCCCA
rnacentral:misc_RNA from 1 species